AGGGAGAGAUCAUUUGGAGUGCAAUUCCCUUUUAUCUACAAUAAGUAUCAAGGGAAGGCCAGAGUAGGGUGCUCUCCAUAUGUUUCAUGUUUCCCUUGAUACAUUUCUAUAGUAUAUAGUAAAUUAUGACGUCAGAAGAAAAUUU